CGGCCGCGGUACUCUAACCGUGCCAAGGUUGCGUAAACACUUGUCUUCUAAAUAAAGACCAGUAUGAACGGCUAAAUGAGGACAAAUCUGUCUCCUGCGACAAAUCAGUGAAACUGAUCUCCCAGUACAAAAGCUGGAAUAAACACAUAAGACGAGAAGACCCUGUGGAGCUUAUAAAUAAACGGUCAACAAAUCACAACCAAAACAAUAAUGAUCGCACAUUUUAAGUUGGGGCGACUUCGGAAAAAAACAAAACUUCCGAGAAGGGGGCCACCAAACCCACCAUAAGGAAUACAAACCUAAAGCAUGUACAUGAAUCGACCCAGUCAAACUGAUUAACGAACCAAGUUACCCCAGGGAUAACAGCGCCAUCUUCUUUAAGAGUCCAUAUCGACAAGAAGGUUUACGACCUCGAUGUUGGAUCAGGACACCCAAAUGGUGCAGCAGCUAUUAAAGGUUCGUUUGUUCAACGAUUAACAGUCCUACGUGAUC
rnacentral:rRNA from 1 species